CCACCGAAAGAUUUAAGUACAGGGACGCUUUAGAAGUGAUGUUGCCGGGCGAUGGUUGACCCGGUCGUAAGGGAUCGAAAAUGAGUAGAGAAGUCAUCAUGGAAAGAGACAAGAAAAGCUGUAUGAAUAUCUUAGGUGCCCGUACCGCAAACCGACACAGGUAGAUAGGAAGAAGAUUCUAAGGCCAACGGGAGAAGGGUUGUUAAGGAACUCGGCAAGUUGACCCCGUAACUUAGGGAUAAGGGGUGCUCAAGUGAUUGAGCCGCAGAGAAUAGGCCCAGGCGACUGUUUAGCAAAACACAGGUCUCUGCUAAAUCGAAAGAUGACGUAUAGGGGCUGACACCUGCCCGGUGCCGGAAGGUUAAGAGGAGAUGUGAGAGCAUUGAAUUGAAGCCCCGGUAAACGGCGGCCGUAACAAUAACGGUCCUAAGGUAGCGAAAUUCCUUGUCAGGUAAGUUCUGACCCGCACGAAAGGUGUAACGAUCUGGGCACUGUCUCAACAACCCGCCCGGCGAAAUUGUAGUACCGGUGAAGAUGCCGGUUACCCGCGACUAGACGGAAAGACCCCAUGGAGCUUUACUGUAGCCUAAUAUUGGAUUUCGGUAUUUCACGUACAGGAUAGGUGGGAGACUGGGAAGCACAGGCGUCAGCUUGUGUGGAGUCGACCUUGGGAUACCACUCUUGGAGUGCUGGAAUUCUAACCUGCGGCUUUGAAGCAAGUCGGGGGACAUUGUUAGGUGGGCAGUUUGACUGGGGCGAUCGCCUCCUAAAGAGUAACGGAGGCGCUCAAAGGUUCGCUCUGCAUGGAUGGAAACCAUGCGUCAGAGUGUAAACGCAAAAGCGAGCCUAACUGCGAGAAUGACGGUUCGAGCAGUAACGAAAGUUGGAGUUAGUGAUCCGGCGGUAUGUGAAUGGAAAUGCCGUCGCUCAACGGAUAAAAGCUACCCUGGGGAUAACAGGCUGAUCUCCCCCAAGAGUCCACAUCGACGGGGAGGUUUGGCACCUCGAUGUCGGCUCAUCGCAUCCUGGGGCUGAAUUCGGUCCCAAGGGUUUGGCUGUUCGCCGAUUAAAGCGGUACGCGAGCUGGGUUCAGAACGUCGUGAGACAGUUCGGUCCCUAUCUGUCGUGGGCGUAGGAUAUUUGCAAGGAGCUGUCCCUAGUACGAGAGGACCGGGAUGGACGCACCUCUGGUGCACCAGUUGUCACGCCAGUGGCACAGCUGGGCAGCUAUGUGCGGAACGGAUAAACGCUGAAGGCAUCUAAGCGUGAAGCCGCCCUUAAGAUAAGAUAUCCCUUCUGUUUACAGAGUAAGACCCCUUGAAGACUACAAGGUUGAUAGGCUCAAAGUGUAAGCACGGUGACGUGUUUAGCUAGCGAGUACUAAUCGGUCGAGGGCUUAACC
rnacentral:rRNA from 1 species